GAUGAACGCUAGCUACAGGCUUAACACAUGCAAGUCGAGGGGCAGCGGUAUCGAAAGCUUGCUUUCGGUAGCCGGCGACCGGCGCACGGGUGAGUAACGCGUAUCGAACCUGCCUCAUACUCGGGAAUAGCCUUGCGAAAGUAAGAUUAAUGCCCGGUGUUUUCAGAGUCCCGCAUGAGGCUUUGAACAAAGAUUUAUCGGUAUGAGGUGGCGAUGCGUCCCAUUAGCUUGUUGGCGGGGUAACGGCCCACCAAGGCAUCGAUGGGUAGGGGGUCUGAGAGGAAGGUCCCCCACAUUGGAACUGGGACACGGUCCAAACUCCUACGGGAGGCAGCAGUGAGGAAUAUUGGUCAAUGGGCGGAAGCCUGAACCAGCCAAGUAGCGUGCAGGAAGACGGCCCUCCGGGUUGUAAACUGCUUUUAGUUGGGAAUAAAACGGGGCUCGUGAGCCCCCUUGCAUGUACCAUCAGAAAAAGGACCGGCUAAUUCCGUGCCAGCCGCCGCCGUAA
rnacentral:rRNA from 1 species